UUUUCUGUGGAGUGGUUUUAUUCCAGGCAUUCACUGCAGGUUGAUGCAAGUUCCCUGCCAACUCAGCUCUCUCUUCGGCUCGCCGACUCCUAAACUCAGUAUGACUGCAUUUCCAGUGGUUCCAAGCAGCAGGAUUUUGGGCAACUCUAUAUGAGGUACAUAGAAGAUGAAUGUGGGCAUAUGCUUCAGAAAUAAGUACGUGCGGAAGAGAAUUUUCUUUGAUUACUACAAAACAGAGAGCAAUAUGGUGACUGGCAAAAGGAAAAUUGCUAAGUGAACUGAAGAUCAUUAAAUGUUUUAAAUUACCCACAAUUAUUUCACAACAAGUUCAAAGACUGCAGAAGGUUGGUGGUUGUGAGAAAACUGAAAGGACUUCAUGGUUUGAUCACCUUGUUUAGAACCAGGCGAUGCUUCGUUACAGAGUAUUUCAAAUGAAGGAUAUCUCAAAUGAAAGAGUUUCCUCCCUCUGCUUGCAAGGCUCCUAGAAGAUACACUUGGAAUGAUGAUGUAUAUGAAUACUGUGGAAAGAUUUGCAUAGGAAGACACAGAGCACAGCAUCCUGCGAGCAUAACUUUAGAACACCUCACAUGGUUGAGAGAGCCACAGACUGUGGGAAGAACUCAGCCUUAACCUGAAGACUUGAAGACAAGAAGGAAAUGGCAAGGUACUGAACAAAGGAAAGUGGGAAGUCAGCAGCCAAAUCAAUCAUCUGGAUAAGCACGAAACCAAAACAAAGAUGUGAGCAUGUACCAAGAUGUCGAGAGAGCCACUUGUGUAAUUUUUUUUAAAAAAGCUAAAAAAAGAGUAAGGCAUAUUCUGAUUUUGAUUUUGUAAAUGCCUAUUUUAUAAAUACAUGCAAGUAUCUUUUUGCAGUGGAAUUAUGGAUCAUAAGUUAAUUAUGUGCUCUAGUUUACUUUCACUAUUAAAAUUAUUUCAUAUAGAGGGCAACCCACUCGGGACUCUUUCUGUCUGUCUCCCAGACAGAAGCUUGCUUUCUCUCAAUAAAUAUAUUCUGCUCUUAAAUAAAUUAUUUCGUGGAUAGAUAGAUGGAUAUAAGCAUAGAAAUAUCUUAAAAUAAGAACUAACAUCACCGUUAGCAACUGAGUAAUAAAAGCUGACUCUCACAGCCCUGUGACAGGCAAGGCUCAGGAGAGUAUGUUACUUCAGGUGGGCUCCUGGAGGGACCCCAGAGGGACUGAUGUCUGCAUACUUUCCCGUGGGUUUGAAGACUCGCAUUGAAUGGGGUAGAAGUAACUUCUCUAAUAUGAUGGCUACAGCCUAGUAAUAUGCAAAUUAUUCCUCUUUUAGCUCCUAAUACUUACGAUGCCUGUAUUCUACUUUUCGUAUUUCUUAUGGAUUGUAUCCAGACGUACCUUAAAAGCUGCAUGCAUUGAGAAGUGGGGGUUUUCCAAGGUGGGUAGAUCUCCAGGAUGUGUGAAGAUGGAUUCUGUGGGGGUGAGAACUGAAUUAGUCUACUGAUUGGUUUAACAUAGUUGUGGGUGUGGACAAUGGGAAGACCCACCCUGGGUGCUAGUGGCACCGACCAGUUGGCUGGUAGGGACUGGAAUAAAAAGGGAAAGAGAAGUUUGUUGCUGCUGGUGCUGUUUUGUUGCUUUCUGUCUGCCCUGCCGGGAACUGUUUCUCCUCUAUGAUGCCCCUCUGUUUUGCUCUCUUGCUUUAGAAACAGCUGACUAUGAAUGGAAACCUUUAUAAAUUCUAAGCUAAAAUAAAUUUUUCUUCUGUAA